rnacentral:rRNA from 1 species
UACGGAGGGUGCAAGCGUUAAUCGGAAUUACUGGGCGUAAAGCGUGCGUAGGCGGUUCGUUAAGUCUGUUGUGAAAGCCCCGGGCUCAACCUGGGAAUGGCAAUGGAUACUGGCGAGCUAGAGUGUGUCAGAGGAUGGUGGAAUUCCCGGUGUAGCGGUGAAAUGCGUAGAGAUCGGGAGGAACAUCAGUGGCGAAGGCGGCCAUCUGGGACAACACUGACGCUGAGGCACGAAAGUGUGGGGAGCAAACAGG